AACGAACGCUGGCGGCAUGCCUAACACAUGCAAGUCGAACGAUGCCUUCGGGCAUAGUGGCGCACGGGUGCGUAACGCGUGGGAAUCUGCCUUUCGGUUCGGAAUAACUCAGGGAAACUUGAGCUAAUACCGGAUAACGUCGCAAGACCAAAGAUUUAUCACCGAAAGAUGAGCCCGCGUAGGAUUAGCUAGUUGGUGAAGUAAAGGCUCACCAAGGCGAGGAUCCUUAGCUGGUCUGAGAGGAUGAUCAGCCACACUGGGACUGAGACACGGCCCAGACUCCUACGGGAGGCAGCAGUGGGGAAUAUUGGACAAUGGGCGAAAGCCUGAUCCAGCAAUGCCGCGUGAGUGAUGAAGGCCUUAGGGUUGUAAAGCUCUUUUACCCGGGAAGAUAAUGACGGUACCGGGAGAAUAAGCCCCGGCUAACUCCGUG
rnacentral:rRNA from 1 species